AUUUUGCGUGAGGGGUUGCAGUGGAGCUCUUUUUUUAUCACGCUUUUUAGCGGGAUAAAAAAAAGCGGGAACGUAAAACCCGACCCGCA
rnacentral:sRNA from 1 species